UACGUAGGGUGCGAGCGUUAAUCGGAAUUACUGGGCGUAAAGCGUGCGCAGGCGGUUCGUUGUGUCUGAUGUGAAAGCCCCGGGCUCAACCUGGGAAUGGCCGUUGAAACUGGCGAACUGGAGUGUGGCAGAGGGGGGUGGAAUUCCGCGUGUAGCAGUGAAAUGCGUAGAGAUGCGGAGGAACACCGAUGGCGAAGGCAGCCCCCUGGGCUAACACUGACGCUCAGGCACGAAAGCGUGGGGAGCAAACAGG
rnacentral:rRNA from 1 species